rnacentral:tRNA from 1 species
GUGGGUGUGGCUCAGUGGUACAGCAUUUGCCUAGCAUGCCGGAAGCCCUGGGUUCCAUCCCCAGCACUACACA